CUAAGCCAAAAUCCUUUCAUUAAAAAGGUGUGGGGGGGGAGGGAAUUUGAGUUGGGAGCUAAAGAACCAUAAAUGCUGCUCACAUUGGAUUUUGUGUGUGUGUGUGAUUCUGCUUUUCAGGGAUCUGUCUAUAAAGUAUGUCACAUUCUGGUUUUGUUUUGAAAAAUACACUGCCCUUUUAAAUCUCCCUUCCCACUUGGGUGCAGAUAUGUCACGCCAUCCUUCCCUAGGAGACCCUUUUCUAAAAUACAAAGCAGCACUUUUACAAUUUCCAGAACAAUUUCCUCAGCAGUGUUUUUAGGUAGGACUUGAGUGAUACCAUUUCUUUGCACUUCAAGCAUGGCUUGGGUAGCGAGUGAUGCACCAAACUGAAUACAGCCCCUCCUGGUUUUGCAGUCUCAGGCAGGCAGCACAGACAGGAGGCAUUCUGAAACUUUGUCGACAGCUUCUGAGCUGUGCUUAGUAUAAGAGGGUUGAAUAUGGAGCCAGCCUGAUGUGUAAGGGCAGGAUUCAGGCUGACAAAUUCAGAAAACCCAUUUAGAAUAAAAUAAGAAACUUUCUUCUUCUUCUUCUUUGCAAUUUCCUCCCCCUAAAUGGUUGAUCUAUUUUUUACUUUUUAAUGUACCAUCCUCUGUCUAGAACAAAGAUGAAGGAAAAUCAGAGGUCAUGGGAAAAGAAGGCAUGGGUUGAGGGAUGUAAAGAAGCUGUAUUUAAUGGCAGAGUAUGGAGAAGGGCAGAGAUGCUCAGUUGCGGAACAUCUGUCCCACAUGCCUAAAAUCCUAGGUUCAGUAACUGCCAGGAGUUCCCCUGUCUGAAACUUUGGAGAGCUUCUUCUGUUCAUUGAAGAUUAGUCAGAUGGACCAAUGGUCUGAUUCCUAUGUUCCUCAAAUGGAUGCUGUAACAGUACAAUUCUGUACAUGUCUACUCAGAACAGGGGUGGCUCAUCCCAUUUCACCACUUUAGGCAAAACGGGGAGGUACUGUGCCCGCUCCACUGCCCCUCUGCCCAAACCUCACUUACUGGGGUUGCAGGGCGGCAGCUUCCGGCAAAACUAGCCGACUUCUUGCGAGAUUGCAUGUAAGUUCCAUGAGAUCUUGCAAGAUCUUGCUGGAAGCUGCUGCUUCUCCUCCCUUCUCUAGUGGCAGGGAUGGGCACCUGCCUCAGUCUGCCUCAUGGCUGAGCCAGCCCUGACCCAGACGUCCCAUGGAGUUCAAUGGAGAUUACUGUCAGCUGCCUGGUUCUAGGACUGCAGCCUAAAUGAUUGUGCUGCAUGUCUAUCAAAAUCACUUUGCUCCCCCCUCUCAAUGUGUGGCAUGCUUUAUAGAUGACAAAACUAUUCCUUGCAACCAAAUGACAGGGACUGUCGCUCAUUUCGGCUUCUAUGUACCCUUGUUCGUAGGGCAUAUUGCACUGAAGAAAGCAGCAAUGAAUGUCUUCCUUUGGCUACCCUGACUUCACUGAUAUGUAGUCCUUUGUCAAUGGGAAGGAACGGGGGAGUCAAGAUCUUAUAAAUAUAAACAAAAGAAACUCCCAUUAUCUAAUGCCUGGUUAUUUUAUGAUUGUUUAUCUGUCACUUUCCCUGUUACCACCUAUCUUUUGUUUUGUUCUUGUGACUGCUGUCCAAGGUCAGAUGAGAAACCUAUGCUUAGGUAAAGAAAUAUUCCCAUGGUUCAGCUGAGAUUUAUAUAUAAGUCCAGCAGUUUACACAUUGGACCUCACUGGUUAUCAGUAAGGUUUCAUUAGCAGAAUUUGCUGCAUGUCCCUCUAUGUAAAUAAGGCUAGAUUAAGAUUGGGCAUACACUGGCAAUAGAAAUUUUCAUCAGGUUUGUUGACAAAUUACAAUAGGAGGUAGUGGUGUUCAGCACAAGAAAACAGGUAUUUAUGUUUAGCGCAUGAAUUCAUCUCUCAUAAUGUUUAAAACAAUCACACGUUACAUUAAGAUGGGAGAUGUAUUAACUUCAGGUGCCUUUCUUGGUAAAACAAAAAUCUUCUCUUUGGUAAUGAUUCUUUAACAUGUUUUCUUGCAGCUCCAUCCUAAUGGAUUAUAGCAUGGUGAAUUCUUAAGUGACUGUUGGGAAUAGCUCAGUCCUCACUUUGGGGUUGUACUGUCUUAAUGUCAUUUGGGAAUGA